GAUGAACGCUAGCGGCAGGCCUAAUACAUGCAAGUCGAACGGGGUAGCAAUACCCAGUGGCGCACGGGUGCGUAACGCGUAGGCAAUCUGCCUAUCUCUGGGGGAUAGCCCGCCGAAAGGUGGAUUAAUACCGCAUAACACUGCAGGGCGGCAUCGCCUAACAGUUAAAGAAUUUCGGAGAUAGAUGAGCCUGCGUGCCAUUAGCUAGUUGGUGCGGUAACGGCGCACCAAGGCGACGAUGGAUAGGGGAGCUGAGAGGCCGAUCCCCCACACUGGCACUGAGAUACGGGCCAGACUCCUACGGGAGGCAGCAGUAGGGAAUAUUGGGCAAUGUGCGCGAGCCUGACCCAGCCAUGCCGCGUGACGGAUGAAGGCCUUCUGGGUUGUAAACGUCUUUUGCCCGGGAAGAAAAAGCCCUUGCGAGGGAAAUCGACGGUACCGGGUGAAUAAGCACCGGCUAACUCCGUGCCAGCAGCCGCGGUAAGAC
rnacentral:rRNA from 1 species